rnacentral:tRNA from 1 species
GUUGUAGUUCAGUGGUAGAGUGCUUGCCUUGCAUGUGUGAGGCACUGGGUUCAAACCUCAGCACCACA